UACAGAGGUCCCAAGCGUUGUUCGGAUUCACUGGGCGUAAAGGGUGCGUAGGUGGUGGGGUAAGUUGGAUGUGAAAGCUCCGAGCUUAACUCGGAAAUGGCAUUCAAAACUACCUUGCUAGAGGGUUGGAAGGGGGACUGGAAUUCUCGGUGUAGCAGUGAAAUGCGUAGAUAUCGAGAGGAACACCGGUGGCGAAGGCGGGUCUCUGGGCCGAUAUUGACGCUGAGGAGCGAAAGCGUGGGGAGCGAACAGG
rnacentral:rRNA from 1 species